UAGAGUUUGAUCCUGGCUCAGAUUGAACGCUGGCGGCAUGCCUUACACAUGCAAGUCGGACGGCAGCGCGGGAGCAAUCCUGGCGGCGAGUGGCGAACGGGUGAGUAAUACAUCGGAACAUGUCCAGUAGUGGGGGAUAGCCCGGCGAAAGCCGGAUUAAUACCGCAUACGAUCUAUGGAUGAAAGCGGGGGAUCGCAAGACCUCGCGCUAUUGGGGUGGCCGAUGGCGGAUUAGCUAGUUGGUGGGGUAAAGGCCUACCAAGGCGACGAUCCGUAGCUGGUCUGAGAGGACGACCAGCCACACUGGGACUGAGACACGGCCCAGACUCCUACGGGAGGCAGCAGUGGGGAAUUUUGGACAAUGGGGGCAACCCUGAUCCAGCAAUGCCGCGUGUGUGAAGAAGGCCUUCGGGUUGUAAAGCACUUUUGUCCGGGAAGAAAUCCCCUGCCCUAAUACAGCGGGGGGAUGACGGUACCGGAAGAAUAAGCACCGGCUAACUACGUGCCAGCAGCCGCGGUAA
rnacentral:rRNA from 1 species